rnacentral:rRNA from 1 species
GGCUCAGGACGAACGCUGGCGGCGUGCUUAACACAUGCAAGUCGAACGAUGAAGCCCUUCGGGGUGGAUUAGUGGCGAACGGGUGAGUAACACGUGGGCAAUCUGCCCUUCACUCUGGGACAAGCCCUGGAAACGGGGUCUAAUACCGGAUAACACUUCCUGCCGCAUGGUGGGGGGUUAAAAGCUCCGGCGGUGAAGGAUGAGCCCGCGGCCUAUCAGCUUGUUGGUGGGGUGAUGGCCUACCAAGGCGACGACGGGUAGCCGGCCUGAGAGGGCGACCGGCCACACUGGGACUGAGACACGGCCCAGACUCCUACGGGAGGCAGCAGUGGGGAAUAUUGCACAAUGGGCGAAAGCCUGAUGCAGCGACGCCGCGUGAGGGAUGACGGCCUUCGGGUUGUAAACCUCUUUCAGCAGGGAAGAAGCGAGAGUGACGGUACCUGCAGAAGAAGCGCCGGCUAACUACGUGCCAGCAGCCGCGGUAAUACGUAGGGCGCAAGCGUUGUCCGGAAUUAUUGGGCGUAAAGAGCUCGUAGGCGGCUUGUCACGUCGGAUGUGAAAGCCCGGGGCUUAACCCCGGGUCUGCAUUCGAUACGGGCUAGCUAGAGUGUGGUAGGGGAGAUCGGAAUUCCUGGUGUAGCGGUGAAAUGCGCAGAUAUCAGGAGGAACACCGGUGGCGAAGGCGGAUCUCUGGGCCAUUACUGACGCUGAGAGCGAAA